CCCAUUUAUGAUUUAAAAUUAAUUUUUGGAUUAAGUUUGAUAUUUUUGGUGAAUUUUGUAUUUUUAACUUAUUUUAAUAAGUUUUUAAUUACUUUUGACUUUUGAAAAAUGUCAAAAAACUUAGUCAAUGGUCAUUUGACCUUACUUGACCUAUGAUAAAUACUUUGGCCAUUUCUUUGAUAUUUUGAAGGGGUUUUAG
rnacentral:lncRNA from 1 species